CUUUUGUCCAACUGAGCAAUCUUGCUUUUAUAAAAUAUACCAACUUCUAAUGUUUAGUGAUUACCAUGCUGUAAUACACAGUUUAAAAUUAUUAAAAGUCUAAAGAGUAUACAACUUAAAUUCUUAAUUGGAAAAAGAUUGUCCCUCAGCAGUGACCAGGAUUCGAAACCGGGCGUAUUCCUGGCGAUAGCUCAAAUGUUGUACAUGAGACAUUAAGCUUUAUUAGCUCCACCUGGUGGUUUUACAAGGUAACUCCACCAGGUGGUUAUCAUAACAUGCUGUAUGAUGCGUUGUGAUGCGCCAUGCCUACUGUGUUUUGAUGCAGCGUACUUUGCGCAUUUUGAAUGGCUGGCUCUGUAUAGACUGUGCGUGCCCCACUUCAGCUUCAUAAUGGCGGUCUGUCAGAAAUAAAAUGUGAGUUAUUUUGCUCAGUUGUCUUUCUCAGGCCAGUAUCAGCUUCAAACCCUUCAUGCCCAUCAAUACUGCAUCUUUGACUCUUUCUUACACAGACCCGUGUGAGCUCCAAAACCUUCCUUACCAUCAGUACACCACAGUCUGUGUCAAUUCAAUUCAAGAAACUUUAUUGGCAUGAGCGGUGAAUAAAUCAGUGUUGCCAAAGUAUAUACAAUUAACAUAAGAUCUACAGACAUUUACAAUUCAGACACAACAUAAUAGCUUUACAUACAAAUAUGAAGUAUUUUUGAGAGAAGGGCUCACUGUUCCUCUGGCUGUGACAGGAGAUCACAUACUGGGCUGCCAGUUCAACCGAGCUCCAUCCCCAUUCUCCCAGUAGUAUCAGGAGUUGUUGUGAUUCUGGCAGGUGUGGGAGUUCUGGAACUAGAUGUGUAAAUUUUCGGAAGAAUGUUUGUCAGUCCAAGAAAAUUUGUCACAACACAGUAAGGAAGUGCAUCUCUGACUCUAUUGUUCCCCGCUGGAAGUGGGAGCACAGCCUGUCCUCUCUGGGCAGCCAGGUCUGUCUGUGUCGCACAGCACUAUCUCUGUGUUUCUUUCCCAGUCCAGUGUCAGCUUCAUGUCGAUCAGUAUUGCCUCCGAGUCUCUCUCCCAGCCUAAACUCCAGCUGUGCUCCCAUCAGUACUACCUGUGUGUGUUCUUGUCUCACUCCCAGCCAAACCAACAGAAUCAACCUAAACUCAUAGAAAAGCAAGAAUGCCCCCAAGACACCUGCACCCCCCUCCUGGACCACUCUGGUAUCAACACCCCCAAACCCAUCCAUA
rnacentral:lncRNA from 1 species